GUCUUAUUGAUAAUAAUUUUAAGUCUAAUCUGCCCAGUGAAAUUUUAAAUGGCUGCAGUAUUCCAACUGUACAAAGGUAGCAUAAUAAUUAGUUUCUUAAUUAGGAACUGGAAUGAAAGAUUGAACGAGACAAUGACUGUCUUAAUUUUAUUUAAAGAACUUUAUUUUUAAGUUAAAAAGCUUAAAUUUUUUUAAAAGACGAGAAGACCCUAUAGAAUUUUAUUUGAUUAUAAAAUUUAGAUUUUAGUAAUUGAAUUUUGAAUUUUUAUAUGAAAAUUUAACUGGGGUGAUUGAAAAAUUUAUUUAACUUUUUUUAAUAUUUUAAUCAUAAAUUUAUGAUUUAUUGAUCCAAUAUUAUUGAUUAUAAGAUUAAAUUACCUUAGGGAUAACAGCGUAAUUUUUUUAGAGAGUUCUUAUCGAUAAAAGAGAUUGCGACCUCGAUGUUGGAUUAAAAUUAAUUUUUAAUGUAGAAGUUAAAAUAUUAGGUCUGUUCGACCUUUGAAAUUUUACAUGAUCUGAGUUUAAAUCGGCGUGAGCCAGGUUGGAUUCUAUCUUUAAUUAGGUUAAAUAUUUUAGUACGAAAGGACCAGGUAUUUAUUAUAAUAAUUUAUGUAGAAUAUUAUUAUUAUUUUGGCAGAUUAGUGCUUUAAAUUUAGAAUUUAAGAAUGUAAUAUUUUACAGAUAAUAC
rnacentral:misc_RNA from 1 species